UCCGGAACCAGAAAUUUUAAA
rnacentral:piRNA from 1 species